rnacentral:rRNA from 1 species
UUGAAACUAUUAGACGGAUAGCUUGGCUCAAAUAUUGAUGAAGGACGUGGCAAGCUGCGAUAAGCUCGGGUUAGUUGCAUGCGAACAUUGACCCCGAGAUCUCCGAAUUGUGCCGAAAGGCAAAACUACGCCGGGAAUUGAAGCAUCUUAGUACCGGCAGGAAAAGAAAAUAAAUAAUGAUUUCCUUAGUAGCAGAGAGCGAAAAGGAAAUAGGGCAAGCUGAAUCUCCCGUUGAAAAGCGGGCAGAGAUGUGGUGUGAUAUAAUGGCUAAGUUGACGAAUCGAAGUGUUCUGGAAAGAAGCGCCUCAGAGAGUGACAGCCUCGUAGAUUAAGUCAAUAUGUCAGGUCAUAAAAGAGUAGGGCGACUUGGAUUAGCCGUCUGAAUAUGGCAGAAUUAACUGCUAACCCUAAAUAUUGUUUUGAGUCCGAUAGCGAAAGAGUACCGCGAGGGAAAGCUGAAAAGUACUCUCACAAGAGAGUUAAAAGACUUGAAAUCUAAUAGUUAUAAGAUAGUUACGGACCUUCGGGUUUGUAACGUACGUUUUGAAGAACGGUCCAGGGAGUUUACAAUUUGUGGCGAGGUUAAUUAAUGAAGCCGAAGCGAAAGCGAGUAUGAAAAUGCGUUAGUCACAAGGGUAAGACCUGAAGCCAGAUGAUCUACUCCUGAGCAGGCUGAAGUUUUUCGAAAGAGAAAUGGAGGGCCGUACAAGUAUUGCGUGCAUGCAUUUUGAUGACUUGGGAGUAGGGGUGAAAAGCCUCUCGAAUCUGGCGAUGGCUGGUUCCUGCUGAAAUAUGCCUUGGUAUAGUUUGGUUUAGUUUGUUUAUGGGGUAAAGUCACAGAUGAAUUUCGCAGAGGCUACUGCCUACGGAAAUUCUUCUAACUCAGAACCUAUAAACUGCGUAAAACCAAAAGCAGCUGCAGCGUGUAAGAUGCUGUAACGAAACCGGAAAAACGGAGCCUUGAGUUAAGGUCCCAAAAUAUUUACUAAGUGUAACAAAGGGAGUCAUUAUUCGAAGACAGUUGGGAUGUAGACAUAGAAGCCGUCAUCAUUUAAAGAAAGCGUAACAGCUCACCAAUUGAGAAUAGUGGCCCCGAAAAUGGACGGGGCUAAAGUAAAUUACCGAUACUCAAGACACAUCCUGUAGAGGAUGUCGUGGUAAGCAGGCGUACUAAUUGCGCAGAAGACUCUUCGUAAGAAGGGUUGGAGCGAUUAGCAAUGAGAAUCCUGGUUGGAGUAGGAUCAUAUCUUCCUGAGAAUCGGAAGACGUCGAAAGGAUACGGUUUCCUUGGCACUAAAAAUUAGCCAAGGGUUAGUCUGCACCUAAGUCAUAUCUUAACUGAGUAUGACGACGGAUAACAGGUUAAUAUUCCUGUACUUUCAAUUUUUGUUAAGUUUCUAAAUCGCUUUCGGAUAGGCAAAGUAGCGAAAGUUAUCAAGAUCAAGAAUUUUGUGGAUCGUAAUGAAGAGAAGCAAAAGAAUUGUCUUUAAUUUGUCAAAUCCAAGAGUCAGUGAAAAGUUUGGAAAAUAGAAAGUUGAGAGCAGUACCAAGAACUGACACUGGUAUCCUAGCUGAAAAGGCUAAGACGUAAAGGGUUAAUUAAGUUAAGGGAACUCGGCAGAAAUAGUCCCGUAUCUUCGGUAGAAGGGAUGUCUAUAUUUUUCCAUGAUUUAUUAUGGGGGAACGUAGAUCUCAGUAACAAGGAUGGAACGACUGUUUACCAAAAACGUAGCUGAGCGCUAAUUUGAAAGAAUGAAUAUGCUCGGUGAAGUCUGCCCAGUGAUGGUGUCUAAACUCUUGUUUCAACAGGAUGAAAGCCCAUCAAACGGCGGGCCUAACUAUGAGGCUCUUAAGGUUGAAUAGAAAACUAAACUGCCUUACGGUUUUUCCUUCGAUAAAAAGGAAAAAACGCUUCAAGUUUCAUAGAAAAAGGUAAAACAGAAGACUAUAAUAAAAGCCAAAGAAGAAAAUUUAGCUAUAUGCUGGAACAUCUGAGAAUGUCAAACUACAACAAUAAUUGUUAAAAACCAUUUUGUUGUAAAAAUGUUAUGACUGCAGACAAUCAGCAGGAAAGGCUAGACCCCUUAUGGAUUGUUGGAUUUACUGAUGGUGAAGGAUGCUUUCAUGUAUCCCUCAACAAAAAUCCAAAAAUGACUUUAAAGUAUCAAGUUCUUCCUGAAUUUCGAAUUGUUCAAAAUAAAAAAGAUGAAGUCCUAUUAUCAAAAAUAAAAGAAUAUUUUGGUUUUGGAGAUGUAGUGGUCAAUAGAAUUGACCAUCAUGGAACAAGAAUGGAAUUCAGAGCAAGAGGCUUAGAAAAUCUAAAUAAUAUUAAAGAAUUUUUCGAAAAGUUUGAAUUGAAAACUUCAAAGAAGAAAGAUUUUGAAAUCUUUUCAGAAAUAAUAGACCUCAUGAAUAAAAAAGAACAUCUAACAAAUCAAGGAAUUGAUAAAAUUAGAGAAUUAACUUUAAAGAUGAAUAGAAAAGCAAUCAUAAGAAGUUUAGAAUCCUCAGAGAACAUACGCUAAACACAAAUUAAUUUGUGAAGAUAUGUUCCGAUCUUUAUAGCGAUAUAAAGUUAACAUAAAUGAGCGUAAUGCCUUGUCAUCUGAAUGGUGACGUGCAUGAAUGGCUUAACGAUUUUGUCACUGUCCCUAACUUACACCCUCCGAAAGCAUUAACCGGUGAACAGGCCGGUAUCAUCUAGUGGGAAGUGAAGACCUUGUAGACCUUUACUGCAACCUGUUGUUGUGAUUUUAUUAUAGUUGCCCAGAGUAAGUAGGAGCAUCGAAGUUAGGGUUCUGGCCCUAAUGGAGCGAAAGUGUAA